rnacentral:rRNA from 1 species
AAAUUGAGAGUUUGAUCCUGGCUCAGGACGAACGCUGGCGGCGUGCCUAAUACAUGCAAGUCGAGCGAGCUGAAUUCAAAGAUUCCUUCGGGAUGAUUUGUUGGACGCUAGCGGCGGAUGGGUGAGUAACACGUGGGCAAUCUGCCCUAAAGACUGGGAUACCACUUGGAAACAGGUGCUAAUACCGGAUAACAACAUGAAUCGCAUGAUUCAAGUUUGAAAGGCGGCGUAAGCUGUCACUUUAGGAUGAGCCCGCGGCGCAUUAGCUAGUUGGUGGGGUAAAGGCCUACCAAGGCAAUGAUGCGUAGCCGAGUUGAGAGACUGAUCGGCCACAUUGGGACUGAGACACGGCCCAAACUCCUACGGGAGGCAGCAGUAGGGAAUCUUCCACAAUGGACGCAAGUCUGAUGGAGCAACGCCGCGUGAGUGAAGAAGGUUUUCGGAUCGUAAAGCUCUGUUGUUGGUGAAGAAGGAUAGAGGCAGUAACUGGUCUUUAUUUGACGGUAAUCAACCAGAAAGUCACGGCUAACUACGUGCCAGCAGCCGCGGUAAUACGUAGGUGGCAAGCGUUGUCCGGAUUUAUUGGGCGUAAAGCGAGCGCAGGCGGAAUGAUAAGUCUGAUGUGAAAGCCCACGGCUCAACCGUGGAACUGCAUCGGAAACUGUCAUUCUUGAGUGCAGAAGAGGAGAGUGGAAUUCCAUGUGUAGCGGUGGAAUGCGUAGAUAUAUGGAAGAACACCAGUGGCGAAGGCGGCUCUCUGGUCUGCAACUGACGCUGAGGCUCGAAAGCAUGGGUAGCGAACAGGAUUAGAUACCCUGGUAGUCCAUGCCGUAAACGAUGAGCGCUAGGUGUUGGGGACUUUCCGGUCCUCAGUGCCGCAGCAAACGCAUUAAGCGCUCCGCCUGGGGAGUACGACCGCAAGGUUGAAACUCAAAGGAAUUGACGGGGGCCCGCACAAGCGGUGGAGCAUGUGGUUUAAUUCGAAGCAACGCGAAGAACCUUACCAGGUCUUGACAUCCUGCGCUACACCUAGAGAUAGGUGGUUCCC